GGACCCGCACAAGUAGUGGAGCAUGUGGUUUAAUUCGAAGAUACGCGCAGAACCUUACCAACACUUGACAUGUUCGUCGCGGCUCUAAGAGAUUAGAGCUUUCGGUUCGGCCGGACGAAACACAGGUGCUGCAUGGCUGUCGUCAGCUCGUGUCGUGAGAUGUUGGGUUAAGUCCCGCAACGAGCGCAACCCUCACUUUUAGUUGCCAUCAUUUAGUUGGGCACUCUGAAAGAACUGCCAGUGAUAAGCUGGAGGAAGGUGGGGAUGACGUCAAGUCCUCAUGGCCCUUACGUGUUGGGCUACACACGUGCUACAAUGGCAUUUACAACAGGAAGCAAGACUGCGAAGUUAAGCAAAUCCUUAAAAGAUACCUCAGUUCGGAUUGCACUCUGCAACUCGAGUGCAUGAAGCUGGAAUU
rnacentral:rRNA from 1 species